UACGUAGGUGGCAAGCGUUGUCCGGAUUUACUGGGCGUAAAGAGCGCGCAGGCGGUCGUGCAAGUCGCGUGUGAAAGCCCCCGGCUCAACUGGGGAGGGUCACGCGAUACUGCUCGACUUGAAGGCAGGAGAGGGAAGUGGAAUUCCCGGUGUAGUGGUGAAAUGCGCAGAUAUCAGGAGGAACACCAAUUGCGAAGGCAGCUCGCUGGGACGUUACUGACGCUGAGACGCGAAAGCGUGGGGAGCAAACAGG
rnacentral:rRNA from 1 species